GAUGAACGCUAGCUACAGGCCUAAUACAUGCAAGUCGAGCGACCGGCGCACGGGUGAGUAACACGUAUCCAACCUGCUCUUUACUCGGGGAUAGCCUUUCGGAAGAAAGAUUAAUACCCGAUGUAAAGGAUGGGGAUGCGUUCCGUUAGGUUGUUGGUGAGGUAACGGCUCACCACGCCUUCGAUGGAUAGGGGUUCUGAGAGCAAGGCCACCCGGACUGGAACAGAGACACGGUCCAAACGCGUACGAGCAGCAGCAGUGAGGAAGAUUGGGAAAUGAGCGUUAGCCUGAACCAGCCCAUGAGCGUGAAGGGUGAAGGCUUAUGGGUCGUAAACUUCUUUGAUAUAAGAAGAGGUAUUAAAUGAAUAAGGAUCGGCUAACUCCGUGCCAGCAGCCGCGGUAAUUC
rnacentral:rRNA from 1 species